CCUACGGGAGGCAGCAGUGGGGAAUAUUGGGCAAUGGGCGCAAGCCUGACCCAGCAACGCCGCGUGAAGGAAGGAGGCCCUCGGGUUGUAAACUUCUUUUGUCAUGGGCGAAACAAAUGACGGUACCUGACGAAUAAGCCACGGCUAACUACGUGCCAGCAGCCGCGGUACUACGUAGGUGGCAAGCGUUAUCCGGAUUUACUGGGGGUAAAGGGCGUGUAGGCGGGAUAGCAAGUCAGAUGUGAAAUUCCAGGGCUCAACCCUGGAACUGCAUUUGACACUGUUUUUCUUGAGUGAUGGAGAGGCAGGCGGAAUUCCGGGUGUAGCGGUGAAAGGCGUAGAUAUACGGAGGAACACCAGUGGCGAAGGCGGCCUGCUGGACAUUAACUGACGCUGAGGCGCGAAAGCGUGGGGAGCAAACAGGAUUAGAUACCCUUGUAGUC
rnacentral:rRNA from 1 species